rnacentral:rRNA from 1 species
UAAUUUUAAUGUAAGAUCAGAUGUUAAUCUGCAGAGGUACAGCUCUGCAGAUUAAGUCUACAAUCUUAAUUAGAGAGUAAAACUAUUUAAUAACCAUAGUUGGCCUAAAAGCAGCCACCAAUUAAGAAAGCGUUUAAGCUCAACAAUUAAACCUAAUUUAAUCUCAAAAUCUCUUAUCAUCUCCUAACUUUAAUACUGGAUUAUUCUACUAAAUAGUAGAAGAGAUACUGUUAAUAUGAGUAACAAGAUUCCACAUCUCCAAACACAAGUGUGUAUCAAUCCGAAUGCCUACUGACAUUUAACAAAUAAUAAAAUCCAUAUAAUUAAUUUAUACUUUUACCAUAUAUUGUCAACCCAACACCGGUGUGUAUAAAGGAAAGAUUAAAAAAAGUAAAAGGAACUCGGCAAACAUAAACCCCGCCUGUUUACCAAAAACAUCACCUCUAGCAUUACAAGUAUUAGAGGCACUGCCUGCCCAGUGACAUUAGUUUAACGGCCGCGGUAUCCUGACCGUGCAAAGGUAGCAUAAUCAUUUGUUCCUUAAUUAGGGACUUGUAUGAAUGGCCCCACGAGGGUUUGACUGUCUCUUACUUUUAAUCAGUGAAAUUGACCUUCCCGUGAAGAGGCGGGAAUAAAAUAAUAAGACGAGAAGACCCUAUGGAGCUUUAAUUAAUUUGUCUAUUAUACUUAAAAUUCAACUCAACAGAAACAAAAUUACGUUAACUAGACAAUAAAUUUUGGUUGGGGUGACCUCGGAGAAUAGCUCAACCUCCGAGCGACUAAAACUAAGACUAACCCGUCAAAGUGGUUUUUAAUAUUGAUCCAAUCAUAUUGAUCAACGGAACAAGUUACCCUAGGGAUAACAGCGCAAUCCUAUUUAAGAGUCCAUAUCGACAAUAGGGUUUACGACCUCGAUGUUGGAUCAGGACACCCAGAUGGUGCAGAAGCUAUUAAAGGUUCGUUU